UACGUAGGGGGCAAGCGUUGUCCGGAUUUAUUGGGCGUAAAGAGCGUGUAGGCGGUUUGGUAGGUCCGCUGUGAAAACUCGAGGCUCAACCCCGAGAGGUCGGUGGAAACCGUCUGGCUAGAGUCCGGAAGAGGAGAGUGGAAUUCCCGGUGUAGCGGUGAAAUGCGCAGAUAUCGGGAAGAACACCCGUGGCGAAGGCGGCUCUCUGGGACGGUACUGACGCUGAGACGCGAAAGCGUGGGGAGCGAACAGG
rnacentral:rRNA from 1 species